CCUACGGGGUGCAGCAGUGAGGAAUAUUGGUCAAUGGCCGUAAGGCUGAACCAGCCAAGUCGCGUGAAGGAAGAAGGAUCUAUGGUUUGUAAACUUCUUUUAUAGGGGAAUAAAGGUAUCCACGUGUGGAUAUUUGCAUGUACCCUAUGAAUAAGCAUCGGCUAACUCCGUGCCAGCAGCCGCGGUAAUACGGAGGAUGCGAGCGUUAUCCGGAUUUAUUGGGUUUAAAGGGUGCGUAGGUUGUUUUUUAAGUCAGCGGUGAAAGUUUGUGGCUCAACCAUAAAAUUGCCGUUGAAACUGGAAGACUUGAGUGUGUUUGAGGUAGGCGGAAUGCGUGGUGUAGCGGUGAAAUGCAUAGAUAUCACGCAGAACUCCGAUUGCGAAGGCAGCUUACUAAGCCAUAACUGACACUGAAGCACGAAAGCGUGGGGAGCAAACAGGAUUAGAUACCCGAGUAGUC
rnacentral:rRNA from 1 species